AUCCAGACGACGAGUCUUUAAUAGAACGAAACGCGCGUGCUGGAU
rfam:Schistosoma rodhaini strain Burundi genome assembly, scaffold: SROB_scaffold0007783